CCAGCAAGACAAGCCUUUGUUUCUUUUCUUUCUGAGUUUUACUUAUUUGUGUAUAAGUAUUCUGUGUACAUAGAUGAUGCAUGCCAGAAGAGGGCACUAAAUCGCAUUACAGAUGGUUGUGAGCCACCAUGUGGUUGCUGGGAAUUGAACUGAGGACCUCUGGAAGAGCAGCCAGUGCUCUUGACUCCUGAGCCAUCUCUCCAGCCCCACUUUAUCUCCUCUACAUGACCCUGAUUGGGGUUGGGGUGUAGGCUGUGUGCUGUAGUGACUUUGGCUAAAGUCAGCCCCACUCCAUGAGGGGACGAUGCCUUUGCCCUUCACUCCUCAAACACUGUUCUCAUUUCAUGUAAAAUGCCUUGGCUCAAGAACUUAGGGAUAGGUAGAGACCAAUUUGGGCACUCACGUUCUGCCAAAUUAGCUUGCCCCAACCCAAAGGAACUUAGAAUCAAUCACUGUAGUAUGUGAGGAAUGGAACUUGCUGGAGGGUGACUUUUUGACCCAGGGCAAAAAUUAAGAUGCUGGGCACUUGAUCCUGCCAAAGAGAGGCAAAUACAAGGCCAGGAGUGAAGCCCUCAUCAGGCCGCCUAGACUUAGGCCAGGAGUGAAGCCCUCAUCAGGCCGCCUAGACUUAGGUCAGGAGUGAAGCCCUCAUCAGGCUGCCUAGACUUAGGCACGGGAGCAGGCAGCCCAUGAGAGGCCCCUGAACUUGUACAUGCAUGGAAAAACGAAAACAGAAA